ACAUUCAUUACAUUUGUAAGGUUUAUUUCCUGGACAGGUUCUGUAAUGGCUCACAGGUUGAAGAAAUGUAUAGAAUGACCUAAGACCUCGAGUCCAUUCAUAAGAUAUCUCUUAAGAUGUUUUUCUAAGACCUGAGUAGGACUUGUCCCAAUCACUACACUACAGGGUGGAUCCUAUAAUGUUUUUCAAAGCCUGAUGUAUUAUAAGAGAACUUGCCACAUUUCAUACCUUCAUAGGGAUAUUAUCCAUAAUGAAUUUUGUAAUGUACUUUGAUCUGUGACAAAUGCAAAAAGGACUUCCUAUAUUUUGUACAUUUAUGGGAUUUCUCUCUGGUAUGGACUCUGAUGUCUACUGAGGCUUGAGUACAACUUGAAGCAUUUCCCACAUUUCCUGCAUUUGUGUGGUUUCUUCCCACUAUUCAUUUCAGCAUGAGUUUAUGUGAAGUGGAAACUUAAGGGUUCUUUGGAAAGGAUGGUGUUUUGCUGGGGCGAACACGUGAAAGAACGUUUAGCUGUUGUGGAUACAGGAGUAAGGAUGUUCUGCUAAAGCAAGCAUGUGAAAGGACACAUGAUGAAUGGUUCUUCUCCAAUAACACAUGUAAUGGUCCGCCUUACAUCAGGACUCCAUAGAGAGAAAUGCACCAAAAACCUUCUGAUGAUAUGUUGCAGUUUACUGCCGCUUCCGAGGACUUGGGCUGAUUGGCAGAGUGAUGUCACCUGAGACAGAUGCACAUACUGAUGCAGGACACACACUGAGGCAAGACUGUGGAGGACACUUGAUGUUUGAAGGGUGUAAAUAGGACUCAGAGGCUGAGCUAGGCUGGCCCAUAGAGCUAUCUGUACAACACUUGUGGGUCUUGAGUAUUCUUUGAUCUUCGCAUUGCUGAGAGAGGCACAGCCAAGACUUUUCUGGCUAUCUUCCGGUUCCUCCUACUGACUUGUGCUGAGGCUGAGGCCUGUCUACUAGCCUGUGCCACCACUGCUGAUUCAUGUUUGCUAUUCCGAAUCUACCAAACUGGACUGCAGGUGUAUCCAUGAAGUGUUUGCGAGUGGAUCGAGCUGCUGCUGCUGACCUGUGAACUGAACUGCAGAUUUCCAGACAACACAGAUGGGAGUUGCUCCAAAGAAUCUUUCUAAACAGGUCCACUUCCCACAUCUUCCUUUUCUACCACCUCUGGUGAGUGGUAGGCUAAAUGGAAGGUUAAAGCGUUUAAGAACCAUUAUUUAAAAAGAGACUUGAAAACAAUUAAAGUUAUAUUUAUGUUCAGAGCCAGAAACCUUUUCAUACUCUGUAUUGUUGUGUUCUUAUGUGGAUUUUUGAUUUUGACUAAUGAUGGAACACACACAUUCCAACAGUUUAUACAGCUUUUAAAUUCGC
ensembl:antisense Gm38325 predicted gene, 38325